CUUGAACGCUGGCGGCAGGCCUAACACAUGCAAGUCGAGCGGGGGUAGCAAUACCCUAGCGGCGAACGGGUGAGGAAUGCUUGGGAAUCUGCCUCGUAGUGGGGGAUAACGUUCCGAAAGGAACGCUAAUACCGCAUACGUCCUACGGGAGAAAGGGGGGGAUCUUCGGACCUCUCGCUAUGAGAUGAGCCCAAGCGGGAUUAGCUAGUUGGUGAGGUAAAGGCUCACCAAGGCGACGAUCCCUAGCUGGUCUGAGAGGAUGAUCAGCCACACUGGAACUGAGACACGGUCCAGACUCCUACGGGAGGCAGCAGUGGGGAAUAUUGGACAAUGGGCGCAAGCCUGAUCCAGCCAUGCCGCGUGUGUGAAGAAGGCCUUCGGGUUGUAAAGCACUUUAAGCGAGGAGGAAGGUUCGUUAAAGACUACGUAACGGAAUUGACGUUACUCGCAGAAUAAGCACCGGCUAACUCUGUGCCAGCAGCCGCCGUAACAC
rnacentral:rRNA from 1 species